rnacentral:tmRNA from 2 species
GGGGCUGUUUUAUGGAUUCGACGAGAUUUUCGAAAUCCAAUGUGCAUGCCGAGGUGAGGUGGCCUCGUAAAAAACCUCAAAAAAAUAACUGCAAACGACUCGCAAUACGAAUCUGCUGCAUUAGCAGCUUAGUCAGCUUAAAACACUGAAGAUUCCCUUUCUCCCUAACCUCCGCUCUUAGGACGGGGAUCAAGAAAGGUCAAACUUAAAAGAGAUCGCGUAAAUGUUUUGCCUAAGACUCAAGCGUUAAAUUUAAUCAGGCUAGUCGGUUAGUGGUGUUGUUCGUCCACAACUGAUCGGUGAACCUAACGACCGGACUAAGCAUGUAGUACUGAAGACGUAGAAAUUUCGGACGCGGGUUCAAAUCCCGCCAGCUCCACCA